AAGCUCUAUCAGCAGGGAAGAAAAUGACGGUACCUGACUAAGAAGCCCCGGCUAACUACGUGCCAGCAGCCGCGGUAAUACGUAGGGGGCAAGCGUUAUCCGGAUUUACUGGGUGUAAAGGGAGCGUAGACGGCAUGGCAAGCCAGAUGUGAAAGCCCGGGGCUCAACCCCGGGACUGCAUUUGGAACUGUCAGGCUAGAGUGUCGGAGAGGAAAGCGGAAUUCCUAGUGUAGCGGUGAAAUGCGUAGAUAUUAGGAGGAACACC
rnacentral:rRNA from 1 species